AUUACUUUAGUAUAUUGCAAAUUAAAAUGGAAUAAUAUAGAAAAGAUUAACAUGGCCCCUACACAAGAAUGAAAUGCAAAUUUGUCAAAAGUUCCAUAUUUUU